rnacentral:rRNA from 1 species
ACGGAGGAUCCAAGCGUUAUCCGGAUUUAUUGGGUUUAAAGGGUGCGUAGGCGGUUUAAUAAGUCAGUGGUGAAAUCUUGCAGCUUAACUGUAAAAUUGCCAUUGAUACUGCUAGACUUGAGUAUAGUUGAGGUGGGCGGAAUGUGUUGUGUAGCGGUGAAAUGCAUAGAUAUAACACAGAACACCAAUUGCGAAGGCAGCUCACUAAGCUAUAACUGACGCUGAGGCACGAAAGCGUGGGUAGCGAACAG